CUGCCAGCUCAUGAAGCAGAUCAGUCGCCGCCCACCUCAGAAGUACUCUCUCAUGCAGUGCUGGCAGCUCCUGGCUCUGUGUGCCCCACUCUUCCUGCCUCAGCACCACUUCCUCUGGUAUGUCAAACAGCAGCUUCAACGCCAUGCAGAUCCCAGAAGUGAAACUGGUCAGUAUGCCAUAUACUGCCAGCGAGCCGUGGAGCGAACCCUGCAGACAGGAGAACGGGAGGCCAGACCAUCGCGGAUGGAAGUGGUGUCCAUCUUGCUUCGGAACCCCUUCCAUCACUCCUUGCCCUUCAGCAUCCCUGUGCACUUUGCCAAUGGGACUUACCAGGUAGGAGGUU
rnacentral:lncRNA from 1 species